rnacentral:rRNA from 1 species
GACGAACGCUGGCGGCGUGCUUAACACAUGCAAGUCGAACGGUAAGGCCCUUCGGGGUACACGAGUGGCGAACGGGUGAGUAACACGUGGGUGAUCUGCCCUGCACUUCGGGAUAAGCCUAGGAAACUGGGUCUAAUACCGGAUAGGACCACUGCCUGCAUGGGUGGUGGUGGAAAGCUUUUGCGGUGUGGGAUGGGCCCGCGGCCUAUCGGCUGGUUGGUGGGGUGAUGGCCUACCAAGGCGACGACGGGUAGCCGGCCUGAGAGGGUGACCGGCCACACUGGGACUGAGAGACGGCCCAGACUCCUACGGGGGGCAGCAGUGGGGAAUAUUGCACAAUGGGCGCAAGCCUGAUGCAGCGACGCCGCGUGAGGGAUGACGGCCUUCGGGUUGUAAACCUCUUUCAGCACCGACGAAGCGCAAGUGACGGUAGGUGCAGAAGAAGGACCGGCCAACUACGUGCCAGCCGCCGCAGUAA